GGGCCGGUAGCUCAGCCUGGAUAGAGCACUGCACUUUUAAUGCAGUGGUCGCGAGUUCAAAUCUCGUCCGGCUCA
rnacentral:tRNA from 1 species